rnacentral:tRNA from 1 species
GGGCGGUUAGCGCAGCGGUAGCGCGUUUCCCUGACACGGAAGAGGUCGCUGGUUCGAUCCCAGUACCGCCCACCA